AGACUUAAAAAAAAAGCCAAAA
rnacentral:sRNA from 1 species